rnacentral:rRNA from 1 species
AUUGAACGCUGGCGGCACGCCUAACACAUGCAAGUCGAGCGGUAACAUGAGUAGUAGCAAUACUACUUGAUGACGAGCGGCGGACGGGUGAGGAAAACGUAGGAACAUGCCCUUUAGCGGGGGACAACCCAGGGAAACUUUGGCUAAUACCGCGUAAUCUCGCACGAGGACAGCUGCCCGCAAGGGUGGCGCUAAAGGCGGGGCCUGCGGCCGAUUAGCGAGUUGGUAAGGUAAAAGCUUACCAAGGCGAUGGUCGGUAACUGGUCUUAGAGGACGACCAGUCACACUGGGACUGAGACACGGCCCAGACUCCUACGGGAGGCAGCAGUGGGGAAUCUUGGACAAUGGGGGCAACCCUGAUCCAGCGAUGCCGCGUGAGUGAAGAAGGCCUUCGGGUCGUAAAGCUCUUUAGGCUGGGAAGAAGGUUGGUAGUUUAAGAGAUAAUCAACUUGACUGUACCGGCAGAAUAAGCACCGGCAAACUCUGUGCCAGCAGCCGCCGUAA